rnacentral:rRNA from 1 species
CACGUAGGGCGCAAGCGUUGUCCGGAAUUAUUGGGCGUAAAGAGCUCGUAGGCGGUCUGUUGCGUCCGCUGUGAAAACUCGGGGCUUAACCCCGAGCCUGCAGUGGAUACGGGCAGACUAGAGGUAGGUAGGGGAGAAUGGAAUUCCCGGUGUAGCGGUGAAAUGCGCAGAUAUCGGGAGGAACACCGGUGGCGAAGGCGGUUCUCUGGGCCGAUACUGACGCUGAGGAGCGAAAGCGUGGGGGAGCGAACAGG